UGGGGAAUAUUGCACAAUGGACGAAAGUCUGAUGCAGCGACGCCGCGUGAGGGAUGAAGGUCUUCGGAUCGUAAACCUCUGUCAGUUGGGAAGAAACAGUAGGGUGCUAAUCAGCCCUGCCUUGACGGUACCAACAAAGGAAGGACCGGCUAACUCCGUGCCAGCAGCCGCGGUAAUACGGAGGGUCCAAGCGUUAAUCGGAAUUACUGGGCGUAAAGCGCUCGUAGGCGGUAUAGCAAGUCAAUGGUGAAAGCCCCGUGCUCAACAUGGGAACUGCCUUUGAAACUGCUAAACUAGAGUGUGUGAGAGGGUGGCGGAAUUCCAGGUGUAGGAGUGAAAUCCGUAGAUAUCUGGAGGAACAUCAGUGGCGAAGGCGGCCA
rnacentral:rRNA from 1 species